CUCUGCCCGCCUCCUCCCGCCUCCGUCCUCUUCUGCCUGUCCCACUGUCUGCGGAGACGGACAGGCCGAGCAUGGAGCAGCACGAGAGAUAAGUGCGAAGCAACAGAGCCUACCAUGGAGUAUUUUUGCGGACCAUGUACAUGCUGUUGGAGGGAAGAGGGGUAGGAAAUUCUAGGUAGUUCUUACUCAUCUCGAAUUAUUAGCAUGCUUGAGUGAGGCUCACCUUUCCUGCGGCUGCCCUCGAGUUUAUUGUGCCUAGUAAUCGGCAGUCAGCAGAGAGGAGUGACGCGGGGUGAAAGGCGCAUUUAGAAAUUCCAAGCAAAAAUUGUGGAGGUUUUACUCUGAAUUGCCAAUUACAGUGGGCCCUUCGCAGAGUACAUCCUGAUAGAAGUAUUGAUUGAAUAAAAGCAUCUUGAGGAUAACGAUAGGUAUGCAUAUUGCUCCAGUGCUGGGAGCUAUACUUCUUGAAAGAAGUUGAAACCAGUGUCCUAGAGCAUCUUAAUUUACUCCACUUUGUAAAGUACCUGUGGGUACUGCAAGGUAUCCUCUCAAAAAGCAAAACCUUCCUGUCAGGAGUGCAUACAGUGAGCAGGAGCAGCGCAGCAGCACUGCUGAGGGCAGGCAGGUCUCAGGGCUGCCCAGUACCUCACAGCAGUGAUGUCCUCAGCUUAGCAUCAUCGCACUGAAACUCAUGCCACAGUUUCAGCUGUCAAGUUGCCUAUACCACUGCUCCGGUUAAAGUCCUAAAAGAAAGCAGAACUGGGGUCUUAAAAGUCAGAAGUUUACACAAAGCUGAUGAAACAGAAUACAUGGUGGUUUUCUGUCACUUUCUUGUCUAUGGGAGAUGACUAAUAAAAGAUUUCUAGGUAGGACCUUGGGAAAUAAGUACUACAGAUGGCCCAAGACUGGUAAAAUCGCUUUGAAACCUCUGGGUCCAGUCUGUGUGGCCCUACCUAUGGGCAGCACUGUGCUGCAGUGAGAGUGGUGCUGGCCUGACUUCUUCAUCUUUCCAUUUGGCAUGCUGUUUGAUGACUGCUCAGUUCUGUGGAAUGAAAGUUCCCUCCACAGCAUUUAGAUGCACACACCACUAUUUACAGCAAAGAGGACUCCAGGCCUGUGAGCUAGGGCUUUCUUGUGCCUCAGAAAGCCUUGUCCAGCAGUUUCCCUCCAAACAGCCCCAGGAUGCUCUGCAGUCCCCAUGGCAGCCACUUUCCACAUGCUGCAAAGCCCAGUUCUGGCAGAGAUGUUUUGGAAGUCUGGCACACUGGCCCUGUAAAUCCACCAUAUGAAUGGCUGAGAUCAUGAUCCUGCUGCUCCAACAUUUCUAACCCAUUUUGCUUGAAUCGCAACAUCUCAUAAUGUAUUUUGAGUUCAUAGAUUUAAAAUGGGGAUCUUUAGAAAAUAGUAUUGUGAAUCAGAGCAUCUGAAAAUAUUAACAUUGCUUUAAUACAUAAUUUUGGAGUUUGUGUUACUGGUGAUUGAUAAACACAGUAACCAAAUGCAUCUACCUCUUACACUCACAUCUGCUUUCUGUUCCCCCAGAUCAGUACUUGGGAAUGACAAAAAGGGAAAGGAUUAGACUCUGUACAAGCUGAUAAACACAUGCAAAUGCAUAUGAAGGUUGUAGGUUUAGAAGCCUUUUUUACUUCACCUAUUCUGUAUAAAUGCAAUGGUGUUUCUGAGUGCUCCUACUCCUCAGGCUGCCUCUGGGGUCCCCCCCCGGUCAUGGGCAGUGCUGAGCCCCAAAAGGAGUAGACAAGGCAUGACUGAGGCACAGUGCCUGCUACCAAGUGCAUGGGUGUAGUACUGUGCACAUUGUCCCUGGAGGAGUGUUACACUUCCUAAAUGCAAGGUUGCAUGGUAGCAAUGCCAGCAUGCCCCUUGGACCACAGUGCCCAUAUGGCUGUAUUUUUUAGUACUUAUGUGUAGUUCUAAAGGGAUGCUCUUUCUUGGCAAAAGCAGCAAGAUGUAGGGAUUUUGCUGUUUGAGGAGAAAAUAACUAAAACUGACUGAAUUCCUUUCAAACUAGCCAAGGACUAUUAAGUCAUUGAAACUUAGACCUGAUUUUUUUAAAUGGAUAAUACAGUAAAGGACUAAGUUUCAAUUAUGAGGGAAUGUAAGCAAGCAGAUGAGCAGAUUAAUCCAUUAGCACAUGAGGAUGGAAAUUCAUAGACAGUUUCUUUGUCAGGCAAGUCUCAUUUUUAAAGGAAAGCAGCACAUCCACAGAAUACAGAAUUAACACUUUUACUUUUUUUUUUUUUUUUUAAAUAACUCCUGUAUUCAGAACAGCAGAGUAGCAAAGUGCCAUUCUGAAGCAGCAGGAGAUGUUUUUUUCCAUAUUAUUUUUGUGAGAAUUUUAUCCAGUGAAGUUCUUUCACGAACCACAAUGAGAGUAGCAAACCUGAAUCUCUGGAUUUUGGAUUGAAAUAAAAAUGUCUGCCAUGACCUUCCGACUGAUGAUUAAAAGUCUUUGGAGUAAAUUGGGCAGCUUUACUUUCAGAGAAAUCACAUUCCGCCCAUAUUUCAGUGCAUGUUAAGCACAGCUCAAGAAAAUUUCCAUUCACUGAAGCAAAGCUCAGAGCUAGAUCCCUGGCUGCUGUCUGCCACCAUGCACAGUGUCAGGCUUCAUUCACUGAAGCAUCACUGCUUUGCAUCAGGGAAAGAUGUAGCUGUUUAGAUCAGGCAUUUUGAUGGCCUGGGAAGAGCAAAAAAAAAAAAACAUGGAAUGAAUAUGGCAACAUCUGGUUUCUGGUGCAUGUUGCUGGAAAUGAUCCUCUUCUGCCACAGCAAAGAAGCACAAAGGAAGGUAAGUUUUCACUUGAACUCAUACUGAAAAGAUGAAUAAUCUGUUUUGCUAUAAUGAAGAAUGGGCUUUGUGUGAUGAUGCUUAAUGCACAGUAUUUAAGUGUCAUGGCACUGGGGGCACUGAUUUUCCAGCCCUACUUCAACCCUGCUGAAUUAAGCUGCCCACUUCUCUCUGUUUCACUGUUUUCCUGGAAGUGUUUACCUCCUCCAUGUCAGUUCAUGGCUUAGCUAAUAGUCCUCCAUUCUAAGGGACUAUGACAGCUGUUCAGACAGGUAACUGUGGCCAUAACCCUUUUAAUGUUUGGGAACCUGGAGAGGGGCUGCCCCACUGAGGACCACCUCAUGCUGCCAGACCCUCAUCCAUACAUCUGAACAGGGCUGAUCACAGAGCCCCAGCUACUGUGUGACCACCCGCACCUCAGACACAGCACGGAUAAUGCAAAGCCAGCCUGGCUUUGCAGGGUGAGAGGGUGAGGUCAGGUGCCAAGCUCAAGCUGAAAUGUGGUCCCUGACCCAGGCAGGGACAGUGAACAGGUAUCCCAGCUGUGAAUGGCUGGGCAAUUAGGAUGAUAUGGCCUGCCUCAGAGCCUUGACAUUUAGUCCUCUCUGCUGAAUUCCAUGAGGAGUCCAUGAUUCAGAGCUGUGUGGUACUCCAUGCUUAAAGACACUGCAGUUUUGUCCUAUGUCAAGUUCACUCAGUUAACAACUGAUCUUUCCACUAAUGCAACUCCAAAAUUCUCUCAAAGUUUAUGCUGGAAAACAUGAUCCAAGUUGCAUGUUGAGACUCAUAAGCACUGGCCUGUUCCAUGUGAAGGGAUUGUAUGACUGAUUACAUCUGGACACCGACCAGGAAGAACAAAGUCACCACUGACGGCAUGUCAGGAGCCACAAAGGAAAAUCAUACAGGAUAUGUGGGACUCAGCUGUGAAAACCUGACACCCAUUCUCUUAACUCUGCAAAUAUCUAGACAACUUGGCUAGACCCAAACAGUCCAUACAACAGUGGUCACGAAGAAAGAGAUUUAACAUUCUCUGUACCAUAGCAUACGUGCAAGUGUGGGCAGCCUGGAUUAAUAUACACCCUCUAAUACCUGCUUGGGAAGAUUAAGACACCUCAUCAACCAGUUUGCCAUUUUCACAGUGGCCAUGUGAGGUGGCCAUAGGUGGAAGAGAACGUAAUACAGAGGCCUUUCCGUAUAUUAGUAGUGUGCCGGGCUAAUACUCCAUCAAAAUCUGCACCUGGGCUUGCAUCUAAAUAGUCAGGGAGUAUUAUAUGUAAUAUAUAAUGUGUAAUAUGUAAAUAGGCCAGUUGAGACAUGGAAAUGCUAGUGGUCUCUGUGAUCUUAUGCUCUUUGACUUAAUAUGGGAUGUCAGGGAAGUUCUUUACAGAAAGAGUGGUGAGGUGCUGAAACUGGCUGCCUAGAGAGGUUGUGGAUGCCUCGUCUCUGGAGGUGUUCAAGACCAGGUUGGAUGGGACCCUGGGCAACCUGGUCUAGUACCAGAUCUGGAGGUUGGUGGUCCUGCCUAUGGCAGGGGGCUUGGAACUUGAUGUUGGGGCUUGGAACUUGGGUCUCUUCCAACCCAAGUCAUUCUUUGAUUCUAUGAUUUUAUGCUUGAACUGAGUGUAAGAAAUUAAAAGAGAAGUGGAAGAGGGGAAUAGAAGAAAUCUGUAUUUUUUAAGAAGGUAAUGGACCAGGUUUUCAAAGCCAUUGAGAAAUUCUGAUUCCCACUGAGGAUAAUAGGAGUUGAGAAUGCUCAGAAAUGG